UAAAAGCGAUCUCAGUUCGGACUGCAGGCUGCAACUCGCCUGCACGAAGUUGGAAUUGCUAGUAAUCGCGGAUCAGCAUGCCGCGGUGAAUACGUUCCCGGGCCUUGUACACACCGCCCGUCAAGCCAUGGGAGCCGGGGGCGCCUGAAGUCCGGGACCGCGAGGACCGGCCUAGGGCGAAACUGGUAACUGGGGCUAAGUCGUAACAAGGUAUC
rnacentral:rRNA from 1 species